rnacentral:sRNA from 16 species
CAAAGGUGCCUUUCAGGCAUCCUCUCCUAAAAACUUUCGGGCUGGUCAUUCGACCGGCCCUUUUUUUUGCGGCAC